AACGAACGCUGGCGGCAUGCCUAACACAUGCAAGUCGAACGAAACCACCGGGCCUAUGGGCGCACGGGUGCGUAAGGCGUGGGAACCUGCACUUAUGUUCGGAAUAACUCCCCGAAAGGGGUGAUAAUACCGGAUAAUGUCUUAGGACCAAAGAUUUAUUGCAUUUGGAUGGGCCCGCGUUGGAUUAGCUAGUUGGUAGGGUAAUAGCCUACCAAGGCGUCGAUCCAUAGCUGGUUUGAGAGGCAGAUCAGCAACACUUGGACUAAGACACGGCCGAGAAUCCUACGCGAGGGAGGAGUGGGGGAUAGUGGACAGUGGGGGAAGUGCUGAUGCAGCAAUGCCGGGUGAGUGAUGAAGUCCUUAGGGAACUAAUGUUCUUUUAACCGGGAUGAUAAUGACGGUACCGGGUGAAUAAGCUCCGGCUAACUCCGUG
rnacentral:rRNA from 1 species